UUGAUCCUGGCUCAGAAUCAACGCUGGCGGCGUGCCUAACACAUGCAAGUCGAACGCGAAAGCCCCGAAAGGGGCAAGUAGAGUGGCAAACGGGUGAGUUACGCGUGGGUGACCUGCCUUCGAGCGGGGGAUAACGUUCCGAAAGGGACUCUAAUACCGCAUAACAUCCUGCCCUUGAACGGGUGGAGAUCAAAGCUAGUGAUUCGCAAGAACCUGGCACUUGAAGAGGGGCCCGCGUCUGAUUAGCUAUUUGGUGAGGUAACGGCUCACCAAGGCAACGAUCAGUAUCCGGCCUGAGAUGGCGGACGGACACACUGGGACUGAGACACGGCCCAGACUCCUACGGGAGUCAGCAGUGGGGAAUUGUUCGCAAUGGGCGCAAGCCUGACGACGCAACGCUGCGUGGAGGAUGAAGAUUUUCGGAUCGUAAACUCCUGUCGAAUGGGACGUAAAAGUUGUGGGUUAACAGCCCGCAAUUCUGACGGUACCGUUAAAGGAAUCCCCGGCUAACUCCGUGCCAGCAGCCGCGGUAAUAAGGU
rnacentral:rRNA from 1 species